rnacentral:lncRNA from 1 species
AAUUAUAGUAAAAUUGACAGACCUUGUAAGCUACUCAAAAUCUACUCUAUGUAUAUUACACUUUUGCUCAAGUUAGUCAGAAUCUGUUUCUGUUGUUUGCAAUUAAAUGCUUUACUUGAAACAGCACCUUAGUGUUGAAGAAAUCUCUACGUCUGCAAGUAAUUACCUGUAAAUCUCAGGAGAAAUUAUUUAAAGUAGCUGGACCUCAGUUAUCACAAAAAAAAUUGAAAAGAUUACACUAAAUUAUUCCUAAGAGCUUAUAAUUCUAUGUAUGCCAUAAAAUGGCUAACAUAUUUCUAUCUUAUUUCUCAAUACUAAGCAAAAAAAGAUCACUGUCAGACAGUGGUGGUUGAUAUUUUCCCAGUAAAAACUGAAUUUUCAAGGUAGGUUCUGCUUUUUGCUCCAGCUAUUCCCCCACUCACUCCUUUGGCUCCUUGAUAAUGUUUAACAUUAUCUGUAUAUUCCAACAGACAAAAAUCCCUCUAAGGUCUUCAGCAUAACUCUUUUAAUCUCACUGCUAUGAAAAGGCACAUCAAAAGAAAUGGUCGAGACAAGGCUCAAAAUUUUUGCAUCUAAGUUUCACAACUAAAUAUUUGGAUUGUGGUAUAAGGAUUCCUCGAGGGCACUUUAAAAGUCCCUCUUGUGAUUCAAAGGUCUGGGUAAUAAUUUGCCUGAAGAAAGCUUAGCUUUCUUCCUUGUCUAGACAAGUUUGUGCAACAGCUUUUCCCUUCUAAAAAACAACAAUUGUGUUUCCAUUUUUUGUCUUACAGAGCUAUGUUUUAAAUUACUAACAAUAAUAAUGAAAAUACAAAAGAUUUUUUAAGUAUUUCAUCCAGAAGCUACACAAGCAUGAUGUUGAGGAAGUUUGAGAAGUUUAUUAGGUCAAUCUAGGCCCUAAUAUACUCAGAUUAUUGAUUUAAACCUGUAGGUGCAAUAAAUCACACAGGUCAUGGAGGCGGCACCAGCUGAAAGUGAGAACACAGAUCAAUUAUAUGAGAGUUUUGGGCUUUCUCACUGGCUUGCCAUUAUAAAAUCGCUUUCUUGGUUCUAUCUCAAACAUCAGGCUGCCUUUUAUAUAUAUAAAACUUUGGUCACCAAGAACAAUCAUGAUUGCAGAGUGGUUACAGCUUGGCUCUGGUGUCAGAGCACUUGGGUUCUAGUCUAGUAUCCACCCAAGGAAUGUUGCUUGGCGUCACAAUGCCUUGGUUUCCUCAUCUGUAAAGUAAGGAAAAUAAGAGUGUUUUGCAAAAUCUAACAGAUGUACCACUGGUAAUAUAACAGAUGAUAUUUGAUUGUAGGUGAGUAGCUUUCUUUUUCUUUUAAUAAUUAUUGGUUUGAUUCUAAGCAUAUUUAAAAAUAUAUAAUUAGCACAACAAGCUAACUAACAUAAUUGCUUAGACCAAACCUAAGUUCAGGAAAAGAAAAUCUGGGCUCCAAAGAGUUUGGAGAGAAAGUUUAUGAGAGAAAGUAUUUCACAGAAAUAGUCUAGUUCAUAAAUAUGAGAUAACAGAAUUAGAAAGUCAUCACUUUUGCAGUCAUGUAAUGAAAUGAUUGUUUCAGAAAACAUUCAUCAAUAAAAAUGAUCAUUGUGUGAAAAAUAAAUGGGAAACUUUACUAUGGAAUGGUAAGGCUGUUACCUGACAAACCCAUUUAUGAAUCUUAGCAUCACUUAAAAGUGCUUCCAAACUAUGAAUGCCAUGCCUCCUGAUAAAGCAGUAGGCGCACCGCUGACGAAGCACUCUUGCCAAGAACACUUACUUUAAAUAAAGUCUAGAGAUAACUUCAGUAUAAGAAAUAAGAGGGACAGAGGAACAAGUUGGAAAACGCCAUAAGAAACCAACAUGGAAGACACUUCCACAGGCCAAGGGAUCCUGUUUCUGCAACAACGCUCUAGCAGUAAUGGAGGCAGGAUUUCUUUGGAUUAGGAGAGUCUAAAGGGACAUAUGUCAUGUAACAUACAGACCUCGUUUGGAUUUGAUAAAAAUAAAAAAUAGAAAAGCAGUAAAUGACAUUUUCAAGUCAAUUGAGGAUGUUUGUGAAAUGAGAUUAUGUAAUAUCAAACAAUCACUGUUUUUUGCUAGAUGUGAUAAUGUGGCUAAGUACAAAAAUGCCCAUGUUUUUUAGAGCUGCACUCUGAAGUAUAUCAGAGUAAAAAAUGAAGUAAUGUCUGGGAUUUUCUUUAAAAUACUUCAAAAGAAAGAGAGUAAGAGAGAUAAAGAAAGGGGCAGGGGAAGAAAAAUGAUAAAAGAAUAGAUGAAGAAAGUAGAACAGAAAUCUUGAUAAUUAUUGUCUGUGGCUCAGGGGGUUAGGAACCUGACUAAUAUCCAUGAGGAUGCGGGUUUGAUCCUUGGCCUUGCUCAGUGGGUUAAGGAUCCAGUGCUGCUUCAAGCUGCGGUGUAUGUCACAGAUGUGGCUUGGAUCCCAUAUUGCUGUGGCUGUGGUACAGACCAGCAGCUGCAGCUCUGAUAUGACCCCUAGCCUGGGAACUUCCAUAUGCCACAGGCACAGUCCUAAAAAGAAGAAU